rnacentral:lncRNA from 1 species
AAAUUAUUAUAACUAUGUUAAUAAAAUACAGAUAUAUAAAUAAUAAUAAUUUUAAAAUAUUAUAUGAUUAUUUUGAAAAUGAUAUACAUGAGAUAAUUAAUACACUAGUACAGGAAAAUGUAAAAUUAGAAAACAUAAACAAUGAUAACACUCAACCUAGUAAUAAGGACAUUAACUACAUUAGCAAUAUUCUAUUUUAUGAUGCAAAAACCAAAAUACAAAAAGAAAAUAAAAAAAAAUAUGAAUCCUAUUUAAAAUAUACAACAAUGGUUGAAAAAAAAAAAAAUGCUUACUUUUUAUCUCAAUUGUUACAUUAUAUAUUACUAUGUAAAUAUAAUGAAAAUAAAAAAAUAAUAAACGAUUUAAUUGAUAUAUUUAUAGAUAAUUUUCAUUUAUUUAAUAUAGAAUAUUUAUUAACUAUAUUUUUUAAUUAUGACUUGUUUCAACAUGCAGAAAAAAAAAAAAAAAUUUUUUUUUCUUGUAAACAAGAAAUAUUACAUAAAAGAAGCCAAAUCAGUGAUGUACAAAUAAAUAAAAUAUUAUCAUAUAUAAUAUAUAAUUAUAGAAAGGGAUUGUUUUAUCGUGAUUUUUAUAAAAAAUUUUAUAAAAAUCAGAAAUAUAUUAUAUAUAAUAAUGUACAAACAUUAAAAGAGAGCUUAACACACUUUAAUAAAAAACAAAUAAAUUUUAUUCAUGAAACUGAUAUAGGGUUAGUAAAUAAUAAACAAAAAAAUAAAUCUUCUGGUGUUGAUCAACUAGGUAAUACUACCUUUGCUACUACUAACCCAAUAACAAUAAAUGAAUUAUUAAAAAAAAGAGAAAUAAUAAAAAGGUAUAAAAACAAUUAUAUACAAAACGAACAAAUAUUUAAAGACACUUCAUUUUUGUUAGAUUUUACAAACAACAUUCAUAUAUUUGUCAAUUUUCGUCAUGUUCAUUUAUUCAAACUUGUUUAUAAUUUAUAUUUACUUAGUUUACUAUUUUAUAAUAAUGUGAAUAUAAUACAUAUAAUUUCUGAAAUAUCAUAUAAUCUGGUAGAGUCUAAUAUAUUUACUUUUAUUGAUCAGUAUUCAUAUUAUUUACCUGAAGAUAUUUCUAUUGUAAUUAAAGUAUUCAAAUAUGUAUCUUUUUUUAAAAUUAAUUUAAUAGAAGUAUGGAAAAAGUUUUUUUUUAUGUUACCAUUUUUUGUAAAUUCAUUAAAUCUACAAGAUAUUUACGAUAUUUUCUUUUUUAUUCAUGUCGCAAAACUGACCAAUUUGAAAAGUAACGAUUAUGAUAUAUAUAAAUUAUUAACAAAUAGAUUGAAAAAUAUCUUACAAAUUAUUUAUGAGCAUGAUAUUAAAGAAGUUAAUACUAGUCCUAAUACGUAUAUUCUGAAUAUACUAGACCUUAUUAGAGAAAAAGAUAAUAACGACGUGAAGGACUUUGCUAGCUUAUUUUUUUAUAGUGUAUAUAAAAAGAUAGUUGGAGAUGUAUCAGUUGGGGAUGUGGCAAUCGGUGAUGCAUCAGUUGGAGAUGCACCAGUUGGACAUGAUCAUAACGAGCGUAGUUGUGACAUAAACGAAAUAAAUAAAAAUGAUUCCUUAAUGGAACAAACCGAAGUAAACAUUGAAGAGACACUUACAAAUCCACACUCCGCCGAAAAAAAAAAUACCUCUCACAAAAAUAAUAACAUAAAUGAAAUGUAUAAAAAAGCAAAUAAUAUUAUCUACAAUUUUAAAGAUAUUAGAUUAUUUCUUAAAUAUUUUUUAAAAUAUUAUAAAAAAAAUCAGAACAAAUUAAAUAUACGAAUUAUUGAUUACCUUUUAUGGAAUUCACAAUUGUUUUUUUCACAAAUGAAUGAAAAUAAAUACUAUUACUAUAGUAGUUAUAUAUAUGGGGCAGAAAUGAAUGAAUAUUUCCAUCUGUUACGUAUGGUACUUAAAGAAAAAUUAUACGAUGGUAUAAGUAUGCGUAGAUGUAUUAGCAUAUUUAAAUACAUAAUAAAUAUCCAGAAAGCACAUUAUUUAACUACUAAUAUUAUGAACACGAAUAUUCAUAACAGUUUCUUUGCAAGCUAUACAGACGUAACUGACGCAAACGUUUGGGGAUAUAUCAAUAAAGUUUUUAUUAAUUCUGUAUAACUGGAAUGUCUGUUUCUGUAUAUACUUAUUUAUAUAUUUAUGUAUAUAUUUAUGUAUAUAUUUAUGUAUAUACUUAUGUGAUGCUCUAUGUGUGCAUGUACGUGUUUUCAUUUAUACAUUCAAAUUUAUUCAUCCAUCUAAUUAUUUUUUAUUUUUUUUAAAUAAUUGAGCUUUUGUACAAAUAAAUAAAUAUUAUAUAUAUAUAUAUAUGUAUUU